rnacentral:rRNA from 1 species
UACGUAGGGGGCUAGCGUUGUCCGGAAUUAUUGGGCGUAAAGCGCGUGUAGGCGGUUCGGUAAGUCCGCUGUGAAAGUCGAGGGCUCAACCCUCGAAUGCCGGUGGAUACUGUCGGACUAGAGUGCGGAAGAGGCGAGUGGAAUUCCUGGUGUAGCGGUGAAAUGCGCAGAUAUCAGGAGGAACACCAAUUGCGAAGGCAGCUCGCUGGGACGUUACUGACGCUGAGACGCGAAAGCGUGGGGAGCAAACAGG